rnacentral:rRNA from 1 species
AUUGAACGCUGGCGGCAGGCCUAACACAUGCAGGUCGAGCGGAUGAAGGGAGCUUUCUCCUGGAUUCAGCGGCGGACGGGUGAGUGAUGCCUAUGAAUCUGCCUGGUAGUGGGGGAUAACGUCCGGAAACGGGCGCUAAUACCGCAUACGUCGUGAGGGAGAAAGUGGGGGAUCUUCGGACCUCACGCUAUCAGAUGAGCCUAGGUCGGAUUAGCUAGUUGGUGGGGUAAAGGCCUACCAAGGCGACGAUCCGUAACUGGUCUGAGAGGAUGAUCAGUCACACGGGAACUGAGACACGCUCAAGACUCCUACGGUACGCAGCAGUCGGGAAUAUGGGACAGUGGGCGAAAGUAUGACACAGUCAUGCCGCGUGUGUGAAGAAGGUCUUCGGAUUGUAAAGCACGUUAAGGUGGGAGGAACGGCAGUAAGUUAAUACCUUGCUGUUUUGACGUUACCAACAGAAUAAGCACCGGCUAACUUCGUG